CUAGUAGGCGUCGAGUGGCGGACGGGUGAGUAACGCGUAGGAAUCUGCCUGAUAGUGGGGGAUAGCCCGGAGAAAUUCGGAUUAAUACCGCAUAAUCUAUUCGUAGUAAAGUGGGGGACUUUCGAGCCUCACGCUAUCAGAUGAGCCUGCGUAAGAUUAGCUUGUUGGUAGGGUAAAAGCCUACCAAGGCGACGAUCUUUAGCUGGUCUGAGAGGAUGAUCAGCCACAUCGGGACUGAGACACGGCCCGAACUCCUACGGGAGGCAGCAGUGGGGAAUAUUGGACAAUGGGGGCAACCCUGAUCCAGCAAUACCGCGUGUGUGAAGAAGGCCUGAGGGUUGUAAAGCACUUUCAAUUGUGAAGAAAAGUUAACGGUUAAUAACCGUUAGCCUUGACGUUAACUUUAGAAGAAGCACCGGCUAACUCCGUGCCAGCAGA
rnacentral:rRNA from 1 species